rnacentral:tRNA from 1 species
GCCUAGGUGGCUCAGUCAGUUAAAUGUCUGACUUCGGCUCAGUCAUGAUUUCAUGGUUUGUGGGUUCGAACCCCACCUCAGGCU